rnacentral:rRNA from 1 species
GACAGAGGAUGAAGCGUUAUCUGGAAUGAUUGGGCGUAAAGCGUCUGUAGGUGGCUUUUCAAGUGCGCCGUCAAAUCCCAGGGCUCAACCUUGGACAGGCGGUGGAAACUACCAAGCUGGAGUACGGUAGGGGCAGAGGGAAUUUACGAUGGAGCGGUGAAAUGCAGUGAGAUCGAAAAGAACACCAACGGCGAAAGCACUCUGCUGGGCCGACACUGACACUGAGAGACGAAAGCUAGGGGAGCAAAUGGG